rnacentral:rRNA from 1 species
GAUGAACGCUGGCGGCGUGCCUAAUACAUGCAAGUCGAGCGAACAGACGAGUGGCUUCCCCCUCUGACGAUAGCGGCACACGUGUGAGUAACACGUGGACAUCCUACCUAUUAGACUGUGACAACUUCGAGAACCCGUAGCUAAUACCGAAUAAUUUAUUGAACCACAUGGUUCACUUCUGAACGACCGUUUUGCUGUCCCUUCUAGACUGAUCCGCUCCGCAUUAGCUAGUUGGCAAGGUAACGGCUUGCCAAGGCAACGAUGCGUAGCCGGCCUGAGAGGAGGAGCGGCCACACGGGAACUGAGACACGGUCCAGACUCCUACGGGAGGCAGCAGUAGGGAAUCUUCCGCAAAGGGCGAAAGCUUGAUGGAGCAACGCCGCGUGAGUGAUGAAGGUCUUCGGAUUGUAAAACUCUGUUAUUAGGGAAGAACAAAUGUGUAAGUAACUAGGCGCGGGUUGACGGUACCGGAUGAGAAAGCCACGGCUAACUACGUG